rnacentral:rRNA from 1 species
AACCAAGGUGGGAUUAGCUAGUUGGUGAGGUAAGGGCUCACCAAGGCGACGAUCCCUAGCUGGUCUGAGAGGAUGAUCAGCCACACUGGAACUGAGACACGGUCCAGACUCCUACGGGAGGCAGCAGUGGGGAAUAUUGCACAAUGGGCGCAAGCCUGAUGCAGCCAUGCCGCGUGUGUGAAGAAGGCCUUCGGGUUGUAAAGCACUUUCAGUCGUGAGGAAGGUAGUGUAGUUAAUAGCUGCAUUAUUUGACGUUAGCGACAGAAGAAGCACCGGCUAACUCCGUGCCAGCAGCCGCGGUAAUACGGAGGGUGCGAGCGUUAAUCGGAAUUACUGGGCGUAAAGCGCAUGCAGGUGGUUUGUUAAGUCAGAUGUGAAAGCCCGGGGCUCAACCUCGGAAUUGCAUUUGAAACUGGCAGACUAGAGUACUGUAGAGGGGGGUAGAAUUUCAGGUGUAGCGGUGAAAUGCGUAGAGAUCUGAAGGAAUACCGGUGGCGAAGGCGGCCCCCUGGACAGAUACUGACACUCAGAUGCGAAAGCGUGGGGAGCAAACAGGAUUAGAUACCCUGGUAGUCCACGCCGUAAACGAUGUCUACUUGGAGGUUGUGGCCUUGAGCCGUGGCUUUCGGAGCUAACGCGUUAAGUAGACCGCCUGGGGAGUACGGUCGCAAGAUUAAAACUCAAAUGAAUUGACGGGGGCCCGCACAAGCGGUGGAGCAUGUGGUUUAAUUCGAUGCAACGCGAAGAACCUUACCUACUCUUGACAUCCAGAGAACUUUCCAGAGAUGGAUUGGUGCCUUCGGGAACUCUGA